rnacentral:rRNA from 1 species
AACGAACGCUGGCGGCAUGCCUAAUACAUGCAAGUCGAACGAGAUCUUCGGAUCUAGUGGCGCACGGGUGCGUAACGCGUGGGAAUCUGCCCUUGGGUUCGGAAUAACUUCUGGAAACGGAAGCUAAUACCGGAUGAUGACGUGAGUCCAAAGAUUUAUCGCCCAAGGAUGAGCCCGCGUAGGAUUAGCUAGUUGGUGAGGUAAAGGCUCACCAAGGCGACGAUCCUUAGCUGGUCUGAGAGGAUGAUCAGCCACACUGGGACUGAGACACGGCCCAGACUCCUACGGGAGGCAGCAGUAGGGAAUAUUGGACAAUGGGGGAAACCCUGAUCCAGCAAUGCCGCGUGAGUGAUGAAGGCCUUAGGGUUGUAAAGCUCUUUUACCCGGGAUGAUAAUGACAGUACCGGGAGAAUAAGCUCCGGCUAACUCCGUGCCAGCCGCCGCAGUAACAC